rnacentral:rRNA from 1 species
CCUACGGGAUGCAGCAGUAGGGAAUCUUUCACAAUGGGCGAAAGCCUGAUGGAGCAACGCCGCGUGCAGGAUGAAGGCCUUCGGGUUGUAAACUGCUUUUAUAAGCGAGAAAUAUGAUGGUAACUUAUGAAUAAGGAUCGGCUAACUACGUGCCAGCAGCCGCGGUCAUACGUAGGAUCCGAGCAUUAUCCGGAGUGACUGGGUGUAAAGAGUUGCGUAGGUGGCAUAAUAAGUAGCUAGUGAAAUCUGGUGGCUCAACCAUUCAGACUAUUAGCUAAACUGUUAAGCUCGAGACCGUUAGGGGUAACUGGAAUUUCUAUUGUAGGAGUGAAAUCCGUAGAUAUUAGAAGGAACACCAAUAGCGUAGGCAGGUUGCUGGGACGGUUCUGACACUAAGGCACGAAAGCGUAGGGAGCAAACGGGAUUAGAUACCCUUGUAGUC